AGGCCCAUGUUGCCCACCAGGCGGUGCUUCGGCAUUACCGGCAAGAAGGCGGGGAUCAGGAACCGGUUACCCUUGGCGUAGUCGCAGCCGGAAUCGAUCACGGCGUCCAACAGCUGUGACAAGUAUUCCGGCAUCAUCUGACCAUCGCCAUCCAUUUUUACGAUGACGUCG
rnacentral:misc_RNA from 1 species